rnacentral:miRNA from 2 species
UUGAAAGGGAUCAGAGGUCAUU